GAAUGAGUUAGUGUCUGUUUAUGAGUCCUUUGAAAUCAAACAAAAUCUUUAAGGAGUAGAUGUUUACCAAACUCACAUGUAACAACAUAUUAACAAAGCAUGGCAAGGUAAUGGGUUAAAGGAAGACCAAUGCUUUGAGAUGGCCGUCAGAGACGAUAGAGGAAAUAUGUUAUUCCAUCAGAGAUGUAACAGGUGAUGUGUACAGGUGAUAUUUCCCUGUUGCUCCAAGAAAGAGGAUUAGGGUUAGCAUACCGUUACCAUUGGAAAAGUUCCAAUUCCAGUUCAGCACUGGAAGUCAUGCCCUUAAUUCACACAAGGCAUCAUGGGGGCUAGGAAUAAAGUAGAUAGGACAACUUAAGGGCACCCUUCUGCCAUAACUUUAUCCUCUGAUAAUAUAUUUAUUUUUGCUGAACUAAAGGCAGAGGUGUUUUGUAGGACAGGCCAGUAUGCUAACAAGCCACAAAAAAAUGACCAUACCAAUACUAUAAGGACAUUUCAUGGAUUUAGGUAUACAAAAGUGUGAAAGCAUCCUCUUUGUCUUCUUUAAUUUGACUUUGUUGUAUAUUGACAAGUUUUAUAAUGUUUGUGCAUGUAAAUAGAUCCUUUCCUUUCUUUCUAUUCCCUUUUAUAUAUUCUUCCUUCCUUUAUUUUCCUUCUGUCUUUCCAUCUCUACCCCUCCCUCCUCUGAAAUAGUUAAUCAGGGGGCUCAUAUCCAACAAUAUUACUACCAUGUUCAAUAUGCUUCAGCUUACAUAACUUUAUAUCCAACAAGGACCAAAUGCGUGAAUGAAAUUAAUCUAUCGAAAAAUUUGUCCUUUUGACGCAGCACGUAUAAUCUUUAUUAGAUUGAGACGUAACAUGGUAUUGGCAGCAAUUAGACCUGGAAGGAGGCACUUCUGCAGAGGUUAAUAACUGCAGUGUGUCUGUUAUGAUAGAAAGGUUAGCUGUAUUAAUGAUGGUGGCGGUGGGCCAAGCUACAAAGACAGUCAGGGCUGCCACGCCAAGCUGAGUGCUGAGGCCAAAGUAUCCACACUGGAGACUCGGUGUGAAACUGUUCUUAUCCCACUGAGACAAAUCACAGCAGGUUUAGGAGCAAUGUCUUUAGAAAAUGUUUGCACUCGUAAUAAAUUUAGGGGCACCACCCUCCUAUAGAGGGAAGCGACUAAUCAAAUUAAUAACUCCGAAAACCAAUUAUUAUCAGUACAUCUGUCAAUAAUGAAUCAUUCUCAGUACCUGGGUUAUGAAUUCUUUAUACAAUGAUCUUAGUUUCUGCUCAAAAGAAAUAUUCACAGACAACAACUUGGCGAAAAAUGAAGAUUUAUUUAGGCUAAAUGUUUAACAACUGAGUAAAUGAGGAUGAUAUGAAAAAACACAAACUCAACAGUAUGUAUAAAUGAAUUAAGACAAGAGGUAACACUUUUGUAAGUUAUUUAGUCUGGCAAUAGUGAGAGACAGUAUGUGACUAUAGAUAAAUUGGGGAUGCAGGGACGCGCAAAACCAUUUACCGAAUGAAACCUAAAUUAAGAUCACAAUAACUAAGUCUCCUAUUCGACAUCAGCUCUUACCACAACACAGCGGCAGCAUCAGGUGCGGGGGAUUUGGCCUACUUUGAGCAGAGUUGGCUCCAGCUGACAUGUCUCCAAGGACCCCAAACUGCCGCUGGCAACUCCCGGUUUCACUUCACAAACUUCCAGCAGAUUGAUACAAACUGGAACGCAGCGGUGAGGGGUGGUGGAGCCUGAAGGCGGUGUCCUUUAGGUGGUCCUCACAUGUCGGUGAUUUUAGGCAGCGGAAAGUCUCUUGGUCGGGCAAAAGAGCCUCUGUACUGCGGACACUUUGACAAGUGGCUGGCAGCCGCUGAAUCCGAUGUGUCUUUGAUGGAGUUGCAGGUCGAAUACAAACUCUUCUAUUGGGCUAUGGCUACUCGCUUAUAAUAAGGUUGAAAACAAUCUUGUCGGCCAUUCGAUAUUAUUAUCAAAGACGUAGAAAAAAUGCUGGCUUUGUCACUUCAGGUAUAAUGUUACUGAAGGCACAGACAAAAAGAAAUAAACCUCAUCAAUUCAAUCAAUCAAUCAAUCAAUCAAUCAAUCAAUCAAUUUGAUUUAUAAAGCCCAAUAUCACAAAUCACAAUUUGCCUCACAGGGCUUUACAGCACACGACAUCCCUCUGUCCUUAGGACCCUCGCAGCGGAUAAGGAAAAACUCCCCACCAAAAAACCCUUUAACGGGGGAAAAAAACGGUAGAAACCUCAGGAAGAGCAACUGAGGAGGGAUGCCUCUUCCAGGACAGACAGACGUGCAAUAGAUGUCGUACAGAACAGAUCAACAUGAUAAAUUAACAGUAAUCCAUAUGACACAACAAGACAGAAAGAGAGACAGAGAGAGAGACAGAGACAGAGAGGAAUGCGGGAUAGAUGGUAAUGACAGUAGCUUACAACAACAAUAAUGAAAGUAAUAAUAUUAUAAUUAAUAUCACAGACUAUUUUGGUACAAUAUGUUCAAAGUAUAUAUUAAUAUCUGACAGUAUACAUAUGUGACAAUAAUCAUAUCUAUAAUAACAGUAGAAGUAUGACUAAUGAUAACAGCAGCAGCAGGAGGCAUCUAGCAGGACCACGGCAGCAGCACAACCACACACGUCACACUAUCCACACUGUAAACCCAGAUUUUGUUUCUAAUUAAACUUACGAGUGAUCAUUACUUAUUCUUUUAUGUUUAGUAAAAACCCGCUAUCAUUACUAAACAACAUUAGUUGUUUGUACUAUUUAGCUGAAUGAUUCAUUGCACUAAUCAGGUUUAGCAGAGAUAACUUGGUAUGGUUACUUUCAUAAGAAAGGGGAGGGGGCUAAUUCAAAAACCUGUCUGGUCACGUGACAAGACCAGCAUCUGGUAACGUGCGUCCAAGGGGCUCUACACCUGGCGGGACGAGCACAUGCAUCGGCAGCAGACGGUACCCUGACCAGGAAGAAACCUUACUCCAAGUGGAAUGGUUUGUAUGUAAAAUGACUAUUGUAGACUAGUUAUGUUUGUGGGAUAAUUUGUUGACGCAGCUUUUUUUCUGUCUAAUGUUACUGUUUGAACCUGUGCGUGGCGUGAAUACGUGCUUAUUCCUAACACUAGCUAAUGUCCACUCAAAAGUGUCAGCUGAAGUUAGCUUAGUGUUAACAGUCCGAGGACGCCUCACAUACCGGCGAGUUUGCUCGACUGUAUCAUUUAUAUAACCGUCAUUAUACGCAAUAGAAAAGCGAUUCAACCGCUGUCAGGGCAAAGGAGUGUAGCAGGCGCUGUGGAGGUGUUUACAUUGUGGACACCGUGAGCUGCUUGCAGCGCAUUGAUCACUCGACCCGUCCUUGGCCGCUCUCUUUUUCCCACUCACUCAUGCCGGAUUUCCACUGGAUGCGUGUCCGUUGGCAGCGCUGGUUAUCCGCUAUGUGCUCCGCCGUCCGUCAAUACCACCGGCUGUGUUUGCUGUGCGGAGUGGUGCAGCUCCGCCGGAAGACAUCUUGGUGCACUGCCAUGAUUAAUAUCCCCUCGUCCAUGGUGUUAACGGGGUGAAAUGACGUCUGAAAACCUCUGACCUGUUGACUUCAGGCCUGCCUCUGCCCAUUAUGUAGUUUUCAAGGUGUAGUGCAGGGAAAUAUGUUCCGCCGUGAACACUGUGUAUUUUAUUUUGAAAAUUAACCAGAUGUUUUAUUGUGUUUCUGUGCACGACUCCCUGCACCGCACAAUCUGCUCUGUGCUGAAUUGCUGCGUUGUGCUCCACUCUCACACACGCUUCAUGCCGGUUUUCUCUGUAACACAGGCGUCGUUUUGGUUCUAUCACCUUAUUGUAUUUAACAGUGACAUUGUUGAGCUGAGUUGUUGAGCUAAACGUUUUCUUGUUUUCUAUUUUUACAGAUCCUUGUGGUGUGAGGAUGCUGUGGAAGUGUAAGUAUUGUGAGUUUAUGUGUGAGAAAAGGGGUUACCUUUUAAAACAUUAUCGGUUAAAACAAGGAAACUAUGGUAGAACUGUCCCAUUUCCCUGCUUACACCAAGAAUGUGUGUGCACAUUCAACUCCAUUAAUGCACUUAAGGUCCACUUAGCAAAGAUUCACCAGAAAACCCAGGAUGCACAACUGAGUGAAACUGCCCAAGUAACCUUUCACUGUCAUUCAUUCAUUCAUUCAUUCAUUCAUUCAUUCAUCUUCUAACCGCUUCAUCCUCUUGAGGGUCGCGGGGGGGCUGGAGCCUAUCCCAGCUGACAUCGGGCGAGAGGCAGGGUACACCCUGGACAGGUCGCCAGACUAUCGCAGGGCUCUUUCACUAAGUAAGGAGCACAGAACACACAACUGGAGGAUGUUCAGGCCAGAAAUAGUCUCUAGUGGUGGAACUAAUGAAAUGGCACCAAGAAGAACAUGAGCCUCCAAAUGACACCCCUGAAUCAGAAGACAGUGAGGAUUCUAUCAAUGAAGAUCUUCAUGAUCUAGAGAAACAGCUGGAGCACAACCUAGCAGCUCUUUUUUUAAAGAUGCAAACGGUCCUACACAUUCCAGAAAGUACGGUACAAGAAGUCAUACAACAGCUGUUACAGAUGUGUGAACUAUCCAAGCCACUGCUGCAUAAUGCACUCAAGGACAUUCUGAAACAACAUACAGAUGUAGAUGAUUCAGUUGUGGAAGAGUUAGUCAGGGCUGCCACAAAGAGCAAUGUGAUCCUGAAAUUCUGUGGCAAGGAUGGCCCCUUAUCAGCAACAAAAAGGAGAGCAGCAUAUGUGAAUAAAAACUUCACAGAGGUUAAACCAGUGGAGUACAUUAUUGAAAGAGGAAAAAAAUCUAGUGCUGUAUAUGUUCCUUUGCAUCCAAUGCUACAGAAGAUGUUGAAUAGGGCGGAUAUUUUGGCCAAAGCUCUUCCUGUCCAAAAGCAUGUGCGACAUGAGUACAGUUCAUACAGAGAUGGCUUGUACUGUAAUGACAAUGACCUCCUUAAAGGGGAGGAAUUCAAAAUCGCUGUUGGACUUUAUACAGAUGAUUCUGAAGUGUCCAAUCCUUUAGGAACAUCUAGAAAGAAACACAAAAUGAGUGCAGUCUAUUGGGUGAUAGCUAAUAUACCAUCAAAAUACAGAUCCACACUCCACUCCAUUCAGCUUGCUGUUUUGUGUAAAGCCUCUUAUGUAAAAGAAUUUGGCUACGCUAAAAUUCUCCGCCCUCUCAUUCACGAUCUGGCUUCUUUGGAGCAACAUGGUGUAUAUGUUGAGAAGUUGGGAGAAUGUGUCAAAGGUAUGGUUUUAUAUGUGGCUGCUGAUAACCUGGCUGCUCAUUCUCUGGCAGGACUCUUCGAAAGCUUUAUGGUAGACAGAUUCUGCAGGUUCUAUAUGGCGACGAGAGGCGAGAUGCAAGCCAAGGAGGUAAAUUCAAGUGCUUUUGAACCCCGCACUAUAGACACUCACAACCAGCAGGUGCAGGAGGUAAAGCAGGAUCCCACUGUGGCAAAACAGUAUGGUGUGAAAGGAGGGUGUGUAUUGACUGACGGUCUGGAGCACUUUCAUGUUGUUCGUGGGUACCCCCCUGACAUCCUCCAUGACCUUUUGGAAGGCAUUGUUCCUGUUGAGUUAUCCCUCUGCAUUUCAGACAUGAUUUCUAAGAAAUAUUUCACCGUAGAAACACUGAACCAUGCCAUGAAAACCUUUGAAUAUGCUUUUCAUGACAAAACUGACCAGCCUCAGCCAAUUGCCCAGGGCUUCUCUACCAAAGGGACCAUAGGUGGCAAUGGUCAUGAGAACUGGGCCCUACUCAGGCUGCUCCCAUUUAUCAUCGGCCAUAAAGUCCCUGAAGGAGACAAUGCAUGGAACAUUCUGCUGCUCCUAAAAGACAUUGUUGAGUUGGCUGUCGCAACACAGCACACUGAAGAGUCGGUACAUUUCCUUGACUGCAAAGUGUCAGAACAUAGAGACUUGUUGCAAACAACAUUCCCAGAUUUUAGAUUACGGCCAAAACACCACUACAUUGAGCAUUACCCUGAGAUGAUCAAAGCAUUUGGUCCCCUUUCAGAUGUUUGGACAAUGCUGUGCAAUGUUAAGCAUCAGAAAAUGAUGGCUUACUAUUUGGACACAAGUUCAUUUUUCAAGCCUUCAAUUGAAAUGGACAAGGUCACUACAGCAUCGAUCACAUCUUAUCCUGAGAAUGUCCAACAGGUUUUCUGCCAGAGAGUUCCUCAGCUUACAUCAGUUCUUGUUGCAUCAUCAGUCUAUGUAGAUGGAAUUAGAUAUUGUGCUGACAUGAUAGUCUCUGUUGGUUCAUGUGCUGGCCUCCCUUCAUUUAGGCAGAUCAAACAGAUAGUGGCACUUAACACUGAGAUCCUGUUUGUUUGCAAUGAGAUGACUGCAUGGUACCAUGAGCAUUUGAGAUCUUUCGAACUCAUCUGUGACAGCAGUAACCCCUCUCUGUGUGUGGUGCAGCUGAAAGAGCUGAAUGAUGUUUUCCCUCUUUCAGCAUACAGAUAAAUUUAGUAGUGACCCUCAGGCGUUAUAUUCUGUGUUAAGAAGCCACAGUGUGAUUUCUUCAAUAAAUCUAGGCUUCAGUAGAACAUUUUGUAGCUUAUUUUAGAGCUCAUGUUGAAAUUUAUAAUGAUACAGUCUGAGAAGUUUUUUUUUCUUUUUUCCUAAAUUUGUGACUUUUUUGUAAAUGUUUUUCUUGUACGUUUGAGUGGGGAUUUCUUGUGAAUUUGAAUUUUUUUUUAAUGGAUUUACCACUUUAAUCUCAGGGGAGAGUCACAUUUUUCUCUUUUAAAUCUGUGACACAUUCAAUGCCCACACACACAAACAACACAGACACAUUCAACGGCCACACACACAACACAGACACGGACAACACCAACACGCACAACACACACACACAGCACAGACACGGACAACACUAACACACACAACACACACACACAACACAGACAUGGACAACACCAACACUCACAACACACACAAACAACACAGACACGGACAACACCAACACACAAAACACACACACACACACCACAGACACGGAUGACACCAACACACAAAACACACACACAACACAGACACGGACAACACCAACACUCACAACACACACCAACAACACAGACAUGGACACCACCCACACACCAACAAACACACCCAGCUUUUAAUGGAUUUACAACUUUAUUCUCAAGGGACAUCCGUAAAUUUGUUAGUGGGAUUUUUGAGAAUUCCCAAGUUUUUUUUUCUCAGAAUAGUGCUCAUAGUUUGGUUCAUAAAAUGGUGACAAGUGUUUAUCAAAGCCCAGUGUAACAUUCUCAAAUAUUUUGACUUGAAAUCAUCACCCAAUUAUGAAAAUAGUUGGAGAUUAGUAACUUAAUCUAUUCAUCGUUGCAGCUUUCUUAUUACAUAGAUGUGUAAAACUAUUUCUUGAUGAUAUGUGUAUUUCUAAUGACCUAAUUAUUGUUUCUAUUCCCAAGAUGACUGCAAACCAGAAGAUGACCUUGAGGGUCAUUCUAACAGAGGCAGAUAUAAGAAAAGUCAUCCUAACUACAAGGCCCUCUACAGUCGAAGAUUUGAUAAGCAAGCUUAAAGAAUCACUGGGACGGGGCGUCGGUAGUGUAGUGGAUAGUGCAGGUGCCCCAUGUACAGAGGCAUUGCCUCGCUGCAGCGGCCGCGGGUUCAAAUCCGGCUUGCAGCCCUUUGCUGCAUGUCAGUCCCCACUCUCUCUCUGUCUCCCCAUUUCACCUUCUGUCCUGUCAAUAAAGGCAAAAAGCCAAUAAAAAUAAUCUUUAAAAAGACUCACUGGGACUUCAUUAUAACUUCAGUCUCCAAUACCAAGACCCUGAAUUCAAUAAUGAACUAUGCAAUCUGACAGAUACUGAAGAACUUCCUGAAAAAACAACAGUUAAAGUCAUGCCUGUCCUUGAGCUGGUACCUGUCUCAUCUGAUGAAGUCUUCAGUGACACACUCAGUACAGCAGAUACGGACAUACUCUCACACUCAUCUCAGGAGCGACAGAAACAGUGGCCAGAAUUUUUUGAUAUCCCAACCUUUUCUGUUGAUGUAGAGUAUAGACUUAGGCAGGCAGAUCUGCUGUUUAUGAGUGAGAGUACAUACCUUAAAGUAUCAAAAGAACUAAAACAUGAUUGGCAGAGAGCAUGUAUAGCUACACAGCAUACCCAACUGCUGCUCAGUUCGAAAGUGUUGCGGCAGCACUGAUAAGCAAGCACCCUUGUCUCCAGGAGCGAGGCUCAACCACUCGCUGUUGUGGUUGGAAAAAUAGUCUAAAGCAUAAAAUGGCUAAUUAUAGAACAAAGCGUAGGCAAUCAGGAUGCCUUGAUGUUGCAGUAAAUGCAGGUAAGCGGGGAAGGCAUUCAGCAGGACAACCAGCUAACAAGCGCAUCAAGAAGGCAAACAAAGGUGAAAUCAACUACUUGCCCAACUUUCUGGAUGGAUUUGAUCAGGCAGCCCUGGAGGGGGCCUGCAAAGACUUGGUUGAUGAAAUGCAGAAGAGAACACCAAAUGGACCUCUUGUGAAACAGAAGAUGGAUCAGACGUUUGCUUUGAGAAGAAAACAGGUAGUGGAGUUGGAACCUGCCAUAAGCACGAUGGUGAAACGCUGGCCUGCCCUUUUCACUGAAGAUCAAGUAUGUUUAAGAAAGAAAAGAUAACAAAUAACUAUUUUCUAUUAUUAUAUAAUGUGUCUAGAUGUAUAUUUCUCUUGUCCUCUUUAAGGAAAACAUUGGUAUUUUUAAUUUGGGGCAUGAUGUUUUUCAUUUAAACAUCAACAUUUCAAAUAAUAUUAAAAGGACAUUCAUGGAUGUUUUUCAGCAUUACCUUGCAGAUGGCUUAGCUGCCUUGUAUAGUUCAGUUGAUCUAAGUUCAGUUUUUGUUUUUUUUUUGUUCUCUGUAUUUUUCAGAUGUUCAUGGAGUUCAGCAGGAUUGUGGGCAAGAACCUCAAGCAGGAAUUCUAUGAGAGCAUCGAUCGGCACAGUCCUCGUCUCCUCGAGUUAUUUCAAUCCAAGAGAGGGAAUGUUGGACAGUUGUUGAGACAGAUUUCACUACAGACCGAUACUACAGAGCCAACUGCGAUCCGGACACAGGUGCUCAGAGGGCUUCCUAUCAUCCUUGGGGACAACCCCACAAACUUCUUCAAAGUAGGCUUUGAAUCUGAUGAUGAUGAUUCUUUUCGUGACCUUGACAUUGGGAUACUUCUCGUUGAGCGUGAAGGUGCUGUGCUCACAUCUUCCCAGCAUCUCAGUCCAGCCUCGUUGAAAAUUAUCAUUGAGGGAGAAGUCGUGAUGGACAACAUUCAAGAUCUGCCAAAAGCAAUGUGCAUUCUGUUUGGACUCACAUAUGCACUCCAUCUUAACUACCCCAAGACUAUGAAGCUCACAUUUCAGUUCAUCCAACAGGUAUUGCUCUCGUUAGGCCACACUGACCUAAAGCCGAAGCUACAGACUUUGAAAAAUCAGCUCGCAAUGUAAAGAGAUGUCAAGUCUACUGUAAGAAGCAGUUGACUAAUUUUUUACUUUCUGACCUGUGGGGUAAACGUUUUUAUUUUCUGUAAAACAAAGGGACGAACAGACAUACGUAAAACGCAGACACACACAUGUACACACACAACAGACACAUUCAACACCCAUACACAAUAUACACAAACAACACAGACACAUACAACACUCACAACACACAAACAACACUGACACACAUACACACCUACACACACUGUGCUGUAGAAAGCAUGCUGAAAGAUGUGACUUGUGUGAAAAUUAAAACUGAGAGUAGCAGAAAGAUAGUUCUUCAUCAGUCUAUGCAGAUGGAAUUAGAUAUUGUUCUGAUAUGAUAGUCUGUUGGUUUAUGCUCUGGCCUCCCUUCAUUUAGGCAGAUGAAACAGAUCCUGUUUGUUUGCAGUUUCUUGUACAUUUGAGUGGGGGUUUCUUGUGAAUUGUGUUUUGUUUAUGGAUUUACCACUUUUAUCUCAGGGGACAUCUAUGUUUUUUUCUUGUAAAUUUGUGAUACAUUCAACACCCACACACACAACACAGACAAACAACACAGACACGGACAACACCCACACACACAACACAGACACAUACAACACCCACACACACAACACAAACACAUACAAUACCCACACACACAACACAGACACGGACAACACCCACACACACAAACAACACAGACAUGUACAACACACACAACACACACAAACACAUACAACGCCCACACACAUAAUUGUUUCAGUGAUUUGAAAUGACCUUUUUCAGAUGGAUCAUUUCAGGUUGUUGAUGCUGA